rnacentral:rRNA from 1 species
AUGCAGUCGAGCGGAAACGAGUUAUCUGAACCUUCGGGGAACGAUAACGGCGUCGAGCGGCGGACGGGUGAGUAAUGCCUAGGAAAUUGCCCUGAUGUGGGGGAUAACCAUUGGAAACGAUGGCUAAUACCGCAUGAUGCCUACGGGCCAAAGAGGGGGACCUUCGGGCCUCUCGCGUCAGGAUAUGCCUAGGUGGGAUUAGCUAGUUGGUGAGGUAAGGGCUCACCAAGGCGACGAUCCCUAGCUGGUCUGAGAGGAUGAUCAGCCACACUGGAACUGAGACACGGUCCAGACUCCUACGGGAGGCAGCAGUGGGGAAUAUUGCACAAUGGGCGCAAGCCUGAUGCAGCCAUGCCGCGUGUGUGAAGAAGGCCUUCGGGUUGUAAAGCACUUUCAGUCGUGAGGAAGGUGGUGUAGUUAAUAGCUGCAUUAUUUGACGUUAGCGACAGAAGAAGCACCGGCUAACUCCGUGCCAGCAGCCGCGGUAAUACGGAGGGUGCGAGCGUUAAUCGGAAUUACUGGGCGUAAAGCGCAUGCAGGUGGUUUGUUAAGUCAGAUGUGAAAGCCCGGGGCUCAACCUCGGAAUAGCAUUUGAAACUGGCAGACUAGAGUACUGUAGAGGGGGGUAGAAUUUCAGGUGUAGCGGUGAAAUGCGUAGAGAUCUGAAGGAAUACCGGUGGCGAAGGCGGCCCCCUGGACAGAUACUGACACUCAGAUGCGAAAGCGUGGGGAGCAAACAGGAUUAGAUACCCUGGUAGUCCACGCCGUAAACGAUGUCUACUUGGAGGUUGUGGCCUUGAGCCGUGGCUUUCGGAGCUAACGCGUUAAGUAGACCGCCUGGGGAGUACGGUCGCAAGAUUAAAACUCAAAUGAAUUGACGGGGGCCCGCACAAGCGGUGGAGCAUGUGGUUUAAUUCGAUGCAACGCGAAGAACCUUACCUACUC